UACGUAGGGUGCAAGCGUUGUCCGGAAUUAUUGGGCGUAAAGAGCUCGUAGGCGGUUUGUCGCGUCGGCUGUGAAAACUCGGGGCUCAACCCCGAGCCUGCAGUCGAUACGGGCAGACUAGAGUGCUGUAGGGGAGACUGGAAUUCCUGGUGUAGCGGUGAAAUGCGCAGAUAUCAGGAGGAACACCGAUUGCGAAGGCAGCUCGCUGGAACGUUACUGACGCUGAGACGCGAAGCGUGGGGGAGCAACAGGAUAAGAACCUUAGUAGU
rnacentral:rRNA from 1 species